UCACCACUUCAUCCUCGACCUCCAAGCAACCCAUUGGACCCAACCCCACCUCCGAUCCGCCACCGGUGAAGCACAUCCAACUCGAUUUCCGUUUCGGAUAUUUUUGGCCUUAAGCCACCAUUUGAGCCGCCACCCACGGCCAACCAUCACCACCACUAGCUUCACCGACAUCCCUAGGCCAUACCCUAUCAAUCUCAGGUCUUCGUUUGCACCCGUUGAAAAGUGGGGAUCUGUGACCCACGGCCAUAGUGUAUUUUGCACUAUUCUGUAGUUGUUUUUCCACUUCUUGCGCCUCCGUGAUCCUCCAAAGAUUAUUAUAUAGCACUGUGACGAUUUAUAGUCGACUCGACAUUUUUGAGGAAAUUUUUGGAAAAGUUAAGUCGUCCAGAUGAUUUGAAUGUUUCAGUUGAGGAUCAAGGAUAUGGAGCAUGGGUGAGAAGAGUUAGAAUGAUGGUUUAAGCAUAGAAGAUUUAUAUGGGUAUUGAAAGUUUUCAUUCAGUAAGCUUGUUGGGUUCUGAUGUUGUGAUUUGUUGGGAGAUUGAUGUUUAUAUUAAGACUUUGUAUUGUCUUAGAAUAGUUAUUCUGGAGUAAGUGAUGUAAAUAUGUGAGUAUUUUGUGCGAUAGAGAAAAAUUAGA